UUGUGUUUUCCAGGGGUUCUGCCACCUUCUAACAGACAGUCCAGUGCUUCAGGGCCCCUGCUGGUAAGAGGUCACUGUGGAGGAGAGAGAAUGUGUGCAGCCUCAGAGGGCUGGAGCCACCUGCCAAUUAGGUGUGAUGGUCUUCAUCUGUCCUUGUCCGGCACACGGUGACGGCAGCAGCCUCCGACUGGGGUCGGAGCCAGUGGCCCGAGAACCUCUCAGCUCAGGGGAGGCGACCGAGUCAGUGAUCACAGGACCCUCUGAGCCAGCCGGGCGUCCUUCCUUCACAUCGAAGAUGGAUUCACAUCCCCAGCUGUGGGAAAGAUAAGUGGAGGACUCCCACCUGGAGAGGGGAUGAGAGCUGGGUCCAGUUUUAUGGUUAGGAGGGAGGGAUUUUCAGAUGAGCCCAGGGGAAAGGGUCUGCCCUAACAGGCCCUUGGCACACAUGGGAGGAACAGUUUACUUUUCAUCAUGGAGUAGGAUGUGCAGGGCAGAGCAGUUCAGGUCUGUGUCAUGUCCUUUGUCCAGUCUGUGUUUCGUGUCUUACUAUUCACAGUCACCACAUCUUUGCUUUCUGCCCUCAAAGUUCUUAUCUGAGGCAUCAUUCCUGGGGUCUUGAACCUCUGCACUGCCCAGCCCAGUGCCCAUACCAUCCGUUCUUUGGCUCACUAGCUUGGACCUGCAUCAGAAUCGCAUCUGAGAAGUGUCAGGUCAGGUGUCUUUUACAGCCUCCUUACAGGUUGUAUCGGUGGCUGUGCUGUGCAGUCAUCUCUUGUAACCGCCUGGGAUUUCUGAGAGUUAAAGAAGAUUCUGAACAUAGCCUUGUCUCCUAUCCAUCUCAGCAGUUUUGAAGGCAGUUCUUGUCCCAGGCCAUUCUGUUAGAGUGUGUUUUCAGGCUCCUCAGAGCCUCCUCCGUUCAGUCUCGCCGUAUCCUCCGUCUUCUCGUGCGGCAGCACAUCCAUUUUGGCGUCGUUCCUUUCUCAGAGUUCUCUCUCCUGGUUGCACCACAGCACUUGCCUGAAAUGUGUGCUUGGAGUUUGUGUUGGGCCUGGAACUGCUCUGCCCUGCAGUGUAGUCUUGGGGGUAGGUGGAGUAGAAAGGAGACUUCCCAGUUACCCCGUGGAUAGGCUUAGGCACUGAGGGCAGGGCCUUAAAGUGAGGUCAGUGUUUGUUUGUGCAGGCUGUCUUUGGACCCCAGAGGGCUUGUCUAAAGAGAAAUUAGAAUUGCACAGCAGUUAAUGUUGCCCUGUGUAUAUGGCUGACUUUGCUAACUCAUUUCUUUGCUGUGUCAGAGGGACUGGAUGUAAAGCAGAGAUGAACAGAGGAGGCUGGAGGAGCACAGUCAGAAGAUGCAGAGCCCUCAGCCCAGCAGAGGACAGGCACCAGGGGGAAGGUGAGCCCGGUGAGGAAGGUGAGCAGUG